UGCAGUGGCACUGUGUCCUGAUGCGAUCCCUAGGUUGUCACGAGCGCGUAGGAAUUCGCGGAUCUCAAUUUGGAUAUCAUUUGAGCCUCAAACGGAUUUUUCAUAUUGUGCGAUUUCCAGGUUCAAUACUGUUGAGCCGUUGGAUCGUAACCAGUUUCAGAUAUGUUACUCUAGACAAUUUCAGAAUCAUGUAGAAUUCGACGGAUUGUGAACUGGAGUUCCGGAUUGGGUCCACUCACCCUUUUUGUUGUUUUGCGCCCCCAGGCAGUAGAAGUGCACAGGAAUCCACCACCGAGCCGUU
rnacentral:lncRNA from 1 species